GGCAGCUUCAAGAAGCUUCUUCAAGUGAAGGUUAAACAGACAUUAGCAGAUUCAAAUGCAAUUUCAACAUUUACGGACAGCGGACCUCCGUGCGAUGUGGCGGCAAGUGGAAAUGAGCUCUGCUUAAAGAUCGGAUGGGAUUGCAAUGGAAUGGCCAUACUUUCUGUAAAUAGGAACUGGAUUGAUGACAAAAAUGACCUUUACUCUUUCUUGAAGGCUUCAGUGUUUUUCUGAGAUCCCAUCCUAUCCGGGUAUCCUCAAUAACUUCUAGGUAUUCAAACAAGGGAUAUGGUCAGGGCGUUACGUGAGCUUAGGUUCAGUCUGCUCCACACAAAUGGUUAGGAGUGGACCAAACAAUAGCGAUCAUAGUAUCAAGGGCUACGCAAGGUUAACAAUGUGAGCCUACAACUUGUCUGAAAAGGCCUGGGCCCUGUUUCUCAAAAGUCCCGA